CAUCCGCGCCACCAAUACGUGUACAGCGGUCUACAUGGUGCCCGAGGGGGUCUUGGUCUACCCAUAAGGGCUCAGGAGGUUUUCGCGCCAUCCGAACGAAGUGCGAAUGGAGUUCUUUAGUUCUCGUUCCUUCAAAUAAGCUUACUCAGCUUUUUCGCGUUUAUUAGCUAGCGAAGAAGGAGAUGUGAGUAAAUUGAGGCUGGCAUCUUUUUAAGCGUACUUUGAAUGACAAAGCCCACCGACCAAGUUCGAGAACAUGUUUUUCACUAAACCCAGCCAUUUGAAUAAGCCGUUGGGAGACGCUAAAUGGAUGAACAGUCGAAGAUUGAGAGACUGCAUCAUGACACACCACCUGUCAAUCUCACACACCAAGAGCCCCCUUCGCGUCAACCUGCAUAGAGAUCAUCUCCAAAACAUCAUCUGAUUCACAGGUACAGUCUGUUCCAUAAAUUCCUCCAGAAAUGUAGUUUUGAUAAUGAAUUUUCAAUUUUUGCUUAAAUGGCCAGUGUUCUAUAUGUACUCCAUAGAUUGUGACCACUGCCUGUUUCCAGCUUCACAAAUCAUCUUUUCCAAUGCUCAUAAUCAUUUCCUUGCUGACAUGUUUGUAAACAAUUUUCUAUUUUCUAUUAUUCUUGUUAAAUAGUGGUUGAACUGUUACGCACUGGUACAGGAUGAAAGGUUGAAAAUGUUAUGUGAAAAAUAGAAAGCAUCACUAUUCCAAUUAUCCUGCGUUUUCAUGAAUUGAGAAUAAUUGCAAUAUAAUUACAACUUAUUAUUUAUUAUAAAUCACUGUGAUAUAUUAGAAAUAAUGAUAUUGAUAAUAAUAAUAAAAAUAAUUCACACAACUUCUGUGAAAAAAAAAACAUAAAUAUCAUAGAAAAAUGCCCUUUCUCUUGCUUGGUCUUACAUGAUCAAGUCUAUUUAAAUCAGUGUUCUUUUGGGGCCACAUCCACUCGCUUUACAUUCUUUUGUCCUUGGGGUAUCAUGCUAGUCAUGGCAAUUGUGGAUACCAAUUUGGUUUGGGUUACGCCCAACUGUUUAUCCUUGUUGUUUGCUGCAGUGGCACUUGCUUGUCCUUGUUAUCUGAGACAGUGAUUUUUGCUUCAUCUGGUACUGUAUGCAACUGAAGUAUAAAGUCUACGUCUUCUUCUCCGGAGCUCCAGGAUUGUUUCUUGUUUGCUUAGAUCUGUAAAGGUUGACUAUUGUAAACGCUUUUUCUUCUGAGUGGGAAAGAAAUGAACAAAAGUCAAGUGGAACCUAAGCAAGUUGCUGUACCUGUUGUGUGGUUGACAGACAGUUUUCGUUUAAAGCGAUGGAUAUAAGCAGUUUUCAAAAGUCCUGUGUGAAGGAAAUUAGUGUAAUUUUUUUAGGGAACUCUGUGACCUUACAGUACACAGGCCUUUUUCUUACAUGGAGUAUCAAGCCUACCAUCCUAUGUCAUCUCAAUACCAACUGUGUCAUGGAUGCCACCUUGGAUUUUGUGAUUCCACCUCUCAGAUCCAUGAUAUUUGCCACAUGGAAAGGCCAGUUUCGCAAUUUCAUUACUGCAUGUUUUGCCAUUGUGUGUACUGUAGGUUACACGAUUUUCACUUGAAAUGUUUCUCUUUUAAUCACCUUUGCACUUUCAUCUUUGCUGUUUUUCUUUAUAUUUCUUUAUAAGGGUUGAAAAUAAAUAUCUAUAAAAAAGUUAGGUCAUCCUUUUUUGUAGCUACUGCGCAUGUGCGAGUAGCUACUAUGUCAUCACGCAGAAAAAAAAAGUAAGAUUUGCCGCGGGGUUUGCUGGGAAAAUUUAACCUCGGAUACAUUUCGGGAUAUGCUCGUUACAAAGCGCCAGCCUCGAAUUACUUUAUAAAGAAGACAAUCAUUAUUAUUAUUUUUAUCUAAAUAAUUAAAAGCUUUUGGGUUUUGUUAAACAAUUUUUACAUAUUCGCUUCUACAGCAGCUUGGUUUGAUAAACUUGGAUGCGGCUGCAUUCCAUUCACAUUCCGAGUUAUGAUCGUUCAAACUUUACGUCAAGUUAUUGAUUAUAAAGGGUUUGCAAUGCAUGCCGAAACACACGAUCUCAUGUAAACACGCUCUCAUUUGGUAUUUAAGCUCAAGUUUUUUCACCCGUAUCCAAUUUCUUUUUACAUUAAGUCAUGUUGCAAAGCUUCAUUGAGGUUCUCUGUAGGUUCAAACAUAUUAACUUAAGUUAUUACAAAUUUACUAAUCGAAUGAUGAUUUUGCAUUUUUUUAUAUUAUUAUGCAAAAUACAUAUUGCACAACAUUAAUGUGAUCAAUUGUUGCAGGUAUUUUAUCUUUGUGAAAGAGAAAAGUAACUGGAAUUCAACAUGCUCGACGUGCCCUUUAGAACAGUUCAAUACAAGCAGUAAUAAGAUUAUUUUUGGUAUCCCACUUUGCUAGCGUUGGCUUCGUGGCUAAGUGGUUAAGGUCGUUGCAUUGAUUCCGUAGGUUGCGUAAAGUCAUGGGUUUGAAUCCUCACCCACUAAAUAUUUUCUUUUUUUUCUUUUUUGCUUUUUUUAAAUAUAUUGGAGUCUUAUACCGUUCAUCUAUACAUUUUAUAAAGUGGAACCUCUAUAUAACGGGCACCCUCGGGACCGUGAAAAGUGUCCGUUAUAUAGAGGUGUCCGCUUAAUGGAGGUCGACUUCUUUUCGAUCAAAUUCGAUAGUAAACACAGUUUUUAUUGACUUUAACUACCUUAGAGUGCAUAACUAGCAGUCUCCGUACUUUUUUUGCGCAAUUUUCAUAUUGCUUGGGACGCGAUCGUCUACAGCAUUUGGUGUACUGUAUAACACCUGAAACAAAACAAUUGCGAAGUGUACACGAAGUUACAAA